rnacentral:rRNA from 1 species
CCAGAGAACUUAGCAGGAGAUGCUUUGGUGCCUUCGGGAACUCUGAGACAGGUGCUGCAUGGCUGUCGUCAGCUCGUGUUGUGAAAUGUUGGUUAAGUCCGCAACGAGCGCAACCCUUAUCCUUUGUGCCAGCGGCUCGGCCGGGAACUCAAAGGAGACUGCCGGUGAUAAACCGGAGGAAGGUGGGGAUGACGUCAAGUCAUCAUGGCCCUUACGGCCAGGGCUACACACGUGCUACAAUGGCGCAUACAAAGAGAAGCGACCUCGCGAGAGCAAGCGGACCUCACAAAGUGCGUCGUAGUCCGGAUUGGAGUCUGCAACUCGACUCCAUGAAGUCGGAAUCGCUAGUAAUCGUAGAUCAGAAUGCUACGGUGAAUACGUUCCCGGGCCUUGUACACACCGCCCGUCACACCAUGGGAGUGGGUUGCAAAAGAAGUAGGUAGCUUAACCUUCGGGAGGGCGCUUACCACUUUGUGAUUCAUGACUGGGGUGAAGUCGUAACAAGGUAGGCGUAGCGAG